GCGGGCUACAAAGCUCUGCGCCCGGUGGUUGGUUUCCUCUUGUCGGAGUCGGUUUCGGGCUCCGAGUCUGGUGGCGAGCGGCCCCCGCCCCCGUUCCCCCCUCCCCCCGCCCUCCGAGGUGGCACCUGCGCAGGAGUCUGAGACCUCCUUUUCCAGAGUUCCAGAAUGGAGACUGAAGGGUACCUAGAGACACAAAGAAGUAAAGAAGUCCAGAAUGAUAAAAUAGGGUCACCUUCAAAUGAGAUGAUGGCUGAGGAGCCAGAAGUUGUCCUAAUAUCAGCUCCCCAGGUCCAGGCUCCACCAGAGCACCUCGAUGCAGACUCAGUUGAAGAUGUGGAGACCAUGCCACGAAGGAAUCCUCCCAAUGCGGCAGCCUCUAGGCAGAGGUUCCGGAGAUUCCGCUAUGAGGACGCAGCUGGGCCCAGGGAUGUCCUCAGACAUCUCCAGGAGCUUGCCGGACAGUGGCUGAGACCCGAUAUUCACACAAAGGAGCAGAUUGUGGAGAUGCUGGUGCAGGAGCAGUUCCAGGCCGUCCUGCCUGAGGAGCUCAGAGCUCGGGCCCAGAGAUGUCAGCCUGGGGUCAGAAUCACUGGCUAAGUUCUGCCACUGGGUUCUUGCUCAGCCUACAUGUGAGAAGUAGCCAAAUGUUCUCUUUGUUGCAAGAUCCAAGGACAGUCAUGGGGGAAAUGUGAACCUCGGUUUUUUUGAGCUUGCCUUUGACUAGUUGUAAUAAGAAUCCAUCAAAACCCAUGUCUGGACCUCUCUGGCUGAGGCAGCUCUAGUUCCUGGGACUGAGCUCUAGAAAGAGCUUCUGUUAGGACAAUCAGCCUGUUGCUUGUUUUUGCUCUGCUGAAUGCCUCCUUUUUUGCACUUUCUGACAUGCUUUAAUAUAUUGUUAUGUAUCCAAAGCAGUAAUUGCUUCAACUUUCAGAAUUCUUGACUCUUGCUGUGGUGGCAUGAAUGGAAGCUUCUGUAACCCCACCAGUAACUCACUUGAUAUGUCCUUGAAAUAUUAAAGUUUGGUCCUCAA